UGGCUUAAAAAACCACAUUUAUUUAGUUGAAGUUGAAAUUUGGGCAAGGCUUGGAGUGGACACCCUGCGUCUGCUCCACUCACGGUUAGCUAGGGUGGCUCCCAGGACUGGCACGUGGCUGACUAUGGCUGUGGCUGACUGUGGCUGUGCCUGUGACUUCUCCAGGUGACGUGGGCUUCCUCACAACAUGGGGGCUGGGCUCCCAGGAACGUCAAACAGGAGAGAAACCCGGGUGGAGUCUGUGGCACCUUCCGCAACCCAGCCUCAGCUUCACGCUGUGUCAGCUCAGCAGCCCUGUGACGAAAUUCAAAGGAAGAAGGAAGAGGCUCUCCCUGUGUGCGGGAAGUGGAAAGCUGAUGUGGUCGUUUGGGGAAAAUAGAAUUUGCCACAGGGAUCACUGUGUCAGGACAGGACCCUCACUACAGGCAGGAUGCUAGACAAGGUGCAAAGAUGACUCGUGCAGUUCUGCCCUGUAAGGAUCCACAGUUACGGGUUAAGACUUUGGAGAAACCAAAACAGAAAGACCUGCCUGAAGCUCCCACAUGGACCCUCCGUGGAGCCCCAGAUUCCACCGGCCCCCACUGGAACGGGAGAGGAAGUAGAGGAAGAAGGUACAUGCAGCCUCCAGAACAAAGAUCAGGAAGAUUCCAGACUCACCUGAUCGGGCCACCCAGGGCAGGCGAUUAGCCCUGAUUCCGCCUGGGGAGAGGGGCCUCCCCAACCAUGCAGCCCCGGGCGGGGAAGGAGCUGCUGGGGCCUGCCGAAGGAAUGGGUGUCCCCUGGAGCUCUGAGAGUCAAAAGUUGUGCCUUUUUUGCAUGAAAGCGGGGCAGGAGGAAUUGGGGGUGGCGGUGGCCGAGGCACUACUGAGUUCAAAAGAAGCUCGUUGAGGGCAGGGACCUUCGCCCCAGUUCUCACGGGAGGCACCCCCUGAACAAAAGCCGCAGGAGGACCAACGUGCCAAACUGCCAAACUCCGACCAGCACCUGCUGGGCCAGGGCCACGGGGACGCCUGGUCCUCUCCCAUCCGUGCCCACCACAGCCCCCCGGCAGAGGACACGGGGGCCCCACAGGGGCCUGACUGCUGGGAAUACAGCAGAUGUGCGUCAACAAGACUCAGACAAUGACGUGGGCUCUAAGCAGGUGGCAAUUACAUGACCCGUGAAGCUCGGUUCCUCCCGUUUGCUCAGAGCCUCCGCAUCCCGGCCCCAGCUGGGUGGGAGUUGUUGCUGAGGCACCUGCGUGGGCAUGUGGCCUGGCUCUCAGCUCUCAGGGAUCGGUAGCGCUGCCAGCGAAACAUGACCCUUCCUGUAACAAAACACCCGUGAAACGCAGCAGGGGAUGAAUAAUGUAAGCCGGGCCAUGAGGGAGCUGGAGGGGCUGCCCCGCCUAUCUGUACAGGGUGUGGGGUGAGGGCAGGAAGGAGACAGGAGGUGCCCCCAGAGGCAUGAAUUUUUUAAAAUCAAACACACUCCUUGCACUUUGCUAGAAGGCCUCUGUCACCGUGUGACCCGGGACCUCUCCGGGGCUCCCGGCAGGAAAGGCAGAAUUACACCCCCCGGGGAAGCCUGAAGCCCACCCUCUCGCAGCCCUGAGCUGGGCAACGGCGGCUCGCCAGCGCCUCCCGUUCUAGGUGGCAUUUCUCUUAAGUGCAGAGUGCAGCAGCCUCUGCAUCACCCCGGGGAACGGAGAGAGCCACGCCCUUUGUGGCUGCCAACCAGACCCGCCAGACAGUUUGCCUGGGAGCACACAGUGCGUAUUGGAUGCUGACGGGCCGGGAUGGCAGUGGGGCUCCUGGGACCCACGUGACAGGACUAGAGCUGAGGCUCAGCCCAUCGCCCCCACAAGGCCAGCGGGAGAACGCCAGGUCCAUCACUCUCCAUGCUGUCGUCCUCAAACCCCAGCAGGACGCCUCACCCUUGGUAACAUUCAGCCUUCAGCCCAUUUGUCUUGGAAAUAAAAAGGUUGAACUUGGAAGAA